CUUCCAUACCACUUUUGACAUCCUUGUCGCCCUACCCUAUCCCCUCUGCACGUCACGUCGCUACUACCAUUAAUUUGGCCUUGUCGCCCUGAUCUUUUAACAUACGCUAAUGUGGGAGUAACUCACCCUGUGUGCUUGCCGCUUGGAUGGUGAAGGCCUGAAGUGACCACUUGACGUCCCCUGAUCGAUCACAUAAGAGCCAUGGCGUGAAUCCGCACGUGGUCGUUACUCACACCUAUGGAGUCCAGGGAGCUUUUGGUUACUGGGUGCAACCGUUGGGAGAUGGCAGCACAGGUUAUCUUCAACAGAUUUAGAUGGCGGCUAACUAAUAGGCUAGGUGUUUAGUCAUCGUAGCCUGUUAUUUUUUCCGCCGGAUGUGGCUCUUUUUUAGCCUUUUGUAGGGCUCUAUUUCUAAGUUCAUGUUUCGUUUUGCACUUUUGUUGGACAUGCUUUGAUUAAUAAUAUGGCUGCAUGCAUCCUCCGGAUGCAGAGGCCGGGGUAUCCUCCUUUUCAAAAAAAAAACUAAAUUUGCUUCAA